rnacentral:tRNA from 1 species
GGAGGGGAGAGCUCAGUGGCAGAGUGUGUGCUUAGCAUGCAUGAGGUCCCAGGUUCAAUCCCCAGCACCUCUG